GGGAUACUGGCAUUGAGCAGGGGCUUCCAGGCUGGCCAAGGGUCACAUAACAACUGCCUUCCUGAGCCCUUUUCCUGAUGUGAGUAAAUGACUCCUACAUCAAAACCAGACUGCUCCCCUUACCCAAUGAGCACCUCGCCAGCAAGAGCCUUCCCCCUCUGCCUGUGAGCUUGUGUCAGGGGUCUCGGGUCUUCAUCUGCACUGUCUAAAAGCAGCUCCUCCAGAGAACUGCUCUUCAGUUUCCUUCUCAGCACAGCCCAGCCAGGACCUUUGAGGGCCAAAGAGCGGAAGGCAAACUGAAGACCACCGGUCUGGCCCCAUUUCAAGAAUGGGCUACUAUCUAAACUCUAGCUAUGCCACCUUCUGCAGGAUUAUUCCAAGGCUUGGAUUAGAUGAAGGGAGGGUGAGAGUGAGAAGUUUGAGAAGCAUUUGCCACUGUGAUUUCUAGAACAGCCUCGAUGGCAGAGGAGAAUAAAGAUACACUUCAGUUUUUCUAAAUUGGCUAAAUGUGAAUCCAGGUGGCUUAAUUAAUGCUGAAUAACUGGCAUGGUCCUGUUGUGCUGGUGUCUGACAGCAGGGCUCUGAGGAGCACUCAGGAUGGAGUGAAGUAGGCUCCAGCUGUACUCAAACUAUAAAUUCCAGCAACCCUGCUGACUCCGGGAGACUCCUUACCCUAACCUCAGAGGGACCUGAAGCAUCUCUGUGGUCUGCUGGAUGACUUCUUCUCUUGCCUCAAACCAGAAGCUAGCAUGGCCCUCCCUCUGUCCCCCAGGAGGAGCCUUCCCUCAGCUCUGCAUGCCCAGGAAAACCCACUUGCUCCUGACUCCCAGUGGUGCCCAGGGUCCAACCACCAGGAUCUGGCUGGCCCACAAUCCCUCUUGCAGGACUGGUUCCUGACUCUGUAGGAGAAACAAGUGGGUGGGCUGGGCUACCACCUCUCACUGAGACUCAGGACAUGUCUCUGCCUGAGAGCAUGUUCCUAUUUUUCUCCUAUAUCCCUUCCAGGAGAGUCAUCUCUUACACCUGCUUAUUUGCGUUCCAAAGUACCCUGUCCCGGAGAUUACAGCACAGAGCAGCCCAUGUUGCAAUUAUGAACUGUCAAGGCUUAUGAACAUGAGAUAAAACUUUAAGCGGUCAACCUCUGAUCUAUUGUAUACCCCUAGAAAUGUUAGGCUGUUUAACCUUGUUUGCUUCUGUCAGCCUCAGUUUUUUCAUCUGUAAAAUGGAAAUAAUAGUAUCUAUUUUGUAGGACUGUUCUGAGACUCCAGCAAAUGUUUUAGCAGGCACUCAGAACAGUGCUUGGCACAUCGUGUUUAUACAAGUGUUUAAAUCCCAUAGAACCCUUGCAAACACCUCACAAAGGAAGGAACUAUCUGUCUUACUGAGAAGAAAAUAAGAGCUAGACUCUGUGUUUCACAGGUCACACAGCAAGUGCCAGCCUCAACUGUCAGCUUCUGCCAUCUGACUUGAGUCUUGCUCAUAUACCCAGUUUAAUAUUAUGCCUAACUGAUUUGAUGGUGACUUGAGGAAAGUGGUGUUCCCCGUUGAACAUGACAAUCUUGCAUUCUGUACCAACACUAUUCAUUAACCUUAAUACUAUCCAUUUAAACUUAAGCACAAAACUUAGCUAGUUUUUUAGAACAGAGAAUGCCUUAAGCUUUCAACCAGUUGAGUUAAAAAUUAGAGGAUGGAGUUGGGAGGCCGAGGUGGGCAGAUCAUGAGGUCAGGAGAUCGAGACCAUCCUGGCUAACAUGGUGAAACCUCGCUCUACUAAAAAAUACAAAAAAAUUAGCUGGGCGU
rnacentral:lncRNA from 1 species